rnacentral:misc_RNA from 1 species
CACCACUCAAGCCUGGCUUGGUAUUGGGCGCCGGGGACUCCCCGUGCCCGAAUUUCCGCGGCUGGCGUUAUCCAUCCUUUCGAACUACAGCAACUGUCCAUACACGGUGAUCUUUGCUGGGGGGUGGAUCGUCGCGCCGUUAAAACUUUUACACAA